AAAAAAAAAAAAAAAACCCGUUCAUCUGGGUUUUGAGCUGUGCUGCGUCGGAGAGGAGCUCGAACAAGCCACAUACCUUGUAUAUGCCAGGCGACAUAAUUUGUGUAUGCCCCUGUCGAACCAGCUAUACUAUAUGGUCCACAGGCACAGCAACAGCAUCCGUGUGCCAUCACUGUAACUGCGUUAAAGCAAUAUGCUCAAUCAGCUUACGCCUUGAAACAGACAAGCCGCUGGUUCUUUCUUUGUUCCUGUGGAGAAUUUGGAGAAUAAAAAGGCUGUUGCGAGUCAGGGUUUAGCCCAGGUGAGCUUCUGAGGGCAUGCUCAUCCUGUGCCUACAGGUUUGGGAUGUGAAUGGAAUGAGGUUCACAGGAACAGCAACAGCAUCGGCGUGCCACCACUGUAACUGCGUUAAAGGAAUAUGCUCAAUCAGUUUAUGCCUUGAAACAGACAAGCCACUGGUAAGUUUUUAUAUUUUUUUCUAGUCCAUAUGAGAAAGGCCUCUUUACUGUUUUAUGGCACUGCAAUUACCUCAGAUUCUUUCUUUGUUCCUGUGGAGAAUUUGGAAAAUAAAAGGCUGUUGCUAGUCAGAGUUUAGCCCAGGUGAGCUUCUGAGGGCAUGCUCAUCCUGUGCCUACAUGUUUGGGAUGUGAAUGGAAUGAGGUGGGCAUCUUUUUACCACCUUAUACUUGGAGCUAAGUUGGUUGAUUUGUAAGCAAAAUUCAAUCAGCAGAUUGCAGGUUCGCUGUUCCGUCCAGGAGUAUGACAAGGUUACAUGAUGUCAGUCCAUACUUUUUCAUGUUAAGUUUCAUAUGCUUAUCAGUACCUGAAUCGUGAGUCCUAUAAUAAUCAGCGCAGCGGAAACUGUCGUCAAUCACAUUUUUUCCCCCGCGCCCCUUGAAUGACUUUUAAGCAAUAUUUUA